CAGUAGCCGCGGUAAAACGUAGGGUGCAAGCGUUAAUCGGAAUUACUGGGCGUAAAGCGUGCGCAGGCGGUUAUAUAAGACAGAUGUGAAAUCCCCGGGCUCAACCUGGGAACUGCAUUUGUGACUGUAUAGCUAGAGUACGGCAGAGGGGGAUGGAAUUCCGCGUGUAGCAGUGAAAUGCGUAGAUAUGCGGAGGAACACCGAUGGCGAAGGCAAUCCCCUGGGCCUGUACUGACGCUCAUGCACGAAAGCGUGGGGAGCAAACAGGAUUAGAUACCCCGUUAGUCCCUGUCUCUUAUAC
rnacentral:rRNA from 1 species